CCUACGGGUGGCAGCAGUGAGGAAUAUUGGUCAAUGGGCGCGAGCCUGAACCAGCGAAGUAGCGUGAAGGAUGACUGCCCUACGGGUUGUAAACUUCUUUUAUAAAGGAAUAAAGUGAGGCACGUGUGCCUUUUUGUAUGUACUUUAUGAAUAAGGAUCGGCUAACUCCGUGCCAGCAGCCGAGUUAAUACGGAGGAUCCGGGCGUUAUCCGGAUUUAUGGGGUUUAAAGGGAGCGUAGAUUGGUUGUUAAGUCAGUUGUGAAAGUUUGCGGCUCAACCGUAAAAUUGCAAUUGAUACUGGCAGCCUUGAGUACAGUUGAGGUAGGCGGAAUGCGGGGUGUAGCGGUGAAAUGCUUAGAUAUCACGAAGAACUCCGAUUGCGAAGGCAGCUUACUAAACUGCCACUGACAUUGAUGCUCGAAAGUGUGGGUAUCAAACAGGAUUAGAUACCCCUGUAGUC
rnacentral:rRNA from 1 species